rnacentral:rRNA from 1 species
UACGGAGGGGGUUAGCGUUGUUCGGAAUGACUGGGCGUAAAGCGCGCGUAGGCGGAUCAGGAAGUUGGGGGUGAAAUCCCGGGGCUCAACCCCGGAAUGGCCUUCAAAACUCCUGGUCUUGAGUUCGAGAGAGGUGAGUGGAAUUCCCAGUGUAGCGGUGAAAUGCGUAGAUAUUGGGAGGAACACCAGUGGCGAAGGCGGCUCACUGGACCGGAACUGACGCUGAGGCGCGAAAGCGUGGGGAGCAAACAGG